rnacentral:miRNA from 1 species
UGGAAUCUUGAUGAUGCUGCAG